GAAUUUUGGACAAUGGGCGAAAGCCUGAUCCAGCAAUGCCGCGUGCAGGUUGAAGGCCUUCGGGUUGUAAACUGCUUUUGUACGGAACGAAAAGCCUUGGGUUAAUCCCCUGGAGUCAUGACGGUACCGUCAUACUCAGCACCGGCUAACUACGUCCCAGCAGCCGCGGUAAUCCGUAGGGUGCAAGCGUUAAUCGUAAGUACUGGGCGUAAAGCGUGCGCAGGCGGUUUUGUAAGACAGAGGUGAAAUCCCCGGGCUCAACCUGGGAACUGCCUUUGUGACUGCAAGGCUAGAGUACGGCAGAGGGGGGUGGAAUUCCGCGUGUAGCAGUGAAAUGCGUAGAUAUGCGGAGGAACACCGAUGGCGAAGGCAACCCCCUGGGCCUGUACUGACGCUCAUGCACGAAAGCGUGGGGAGCAAAC
rnacentral:rRNA from 1 species